rnacentral:rRNA from 1 species
AACAAACGCUGGCGGCGUGCCUAAUACAUGCAAGUCGAACGGGGAAAGCUUUCGGGUGAGUACUAGUGGCGCACGGGUGAGUAACGCGUGGAUAAUCUGCCUUAGAGUGGGGGAUAACUAGUCGAAAGAUUAGCUAAUACCGCAUAAGACCACAAGAACUGCGGUUCAAGAGGUCAAAGGUUCUUCGCUCUAAGAUGAGUCCGCGUAAGAUUAGCUAGUUGGUGAGGUAACGGCUCACCAAGGCAACGAUCUUUAACUGGUCUGAGAGGAUGAUCAGUCACACUGGAACUGAGACACGGUCCAGACUCCUACGGGAGGCAGCAGUAGGGAAUAUUGCACAAUGGAGGAAACUCUGAUGCAGCGACGCCGCGUGAGUGAUGGAGGCCUUCGGGUCGUAAAGCUCUGUCGCAGGGGAAUAACACAAUGAAUGUACCCUGUAAGAAAGGAUCGGCUAACUUCGUGCCAGCCGCCGCGGUAAUAC